AGACCAAAAUUCUGAAGUGCAGGCUUUGUGAGAGAAAGGAUCUCAUCUGCUCAUAUCUAUAAUUUAAUUAUUCCAUCCUCAGAUCUGGAAAAAAUCCUCAAAGUAGAUGCUCAAAAAGUUAUCAAUUCAAUAAGUGAAUGAAAGUUGUGAAAAGCAAGGAAUAGAAUGGAGAGAAAUAAAAGAUACCAAUUUCUUGAAUUUAAAAGUAAAAAUUUUAAGAAUAGAGGGUAGCAGAAUGUGCCACCCCAAAAUAUGCUCCUUUGGCAUGAUUAUUUUGAGCUAAUUAGAUUGAGGAAGAAAGAGAGGCUGGAGAAGAUCUGGAAACAAUAGAAGUUACCAUUUUAUAUCCUCUUUGAAGCCCCUAUCUCUCUCCUUAGUAUAAAAGUCUCAUUCGGUUAUCUUUUGAGCCUCGUAUCUUCAUGGGGCUUCUGUCCAUAUGUACUAAUCAAUUUUUUUCUGUUAAUCUCAAAACAUUUCCUAAUAAAAUACUAAAUAUAUAAAACUAAUAUAUGUUAAGAAACAGGGGAAAGUAAUAGAGUAUACUGCAUUCAAGCCAAUUUCUAUUCUUCAUGGGGAUAGACAAUAGAUACUCUAAAUUUGAUACCUUAGUAGAGGUAUAAGCAUAUUAUUUACAGGUAUGAAAGAAAUAACCAGAAGAAUUAAAAGCAGAAAAAAAUUUCAACAAGUGUACCCAUGAUUACGUAAGAUGUUAACAUCUGGGGAAGCUCAGGGACGGCUACAUGAGAACUCCCUAUACCGCCUUUGCAACUUUUCUGUGCAUAAAUAUUUACUGAAAAAUUUUAAAAUUAUGUAAAUAAAAAGCAGAAGUUGACCAAAAUAUCAUGGGAAUAUGGUAAUAAGGCAGGUAAAUAGUUUUUAUUUUAUGCUUUUCUUACUAAUUGUUUCUUUUUCAAGUGUGCAUGUGUUUAAUUGACAGUGAUGAUAACACAGAGGACAGUGGAGCUGAUGAUGAUAAUGAUGAAUAAAAGCUUUAAAAUAUGUAAGUCAUACUUGUUAAGAUGUUUGAGUAAAGGGCAUCACCAUUAGGAAGGAGGGGAAGAAGGGCAGAAGGAAGGAGAGAGGAAGGAAAGGAGGAAGUGGGGGAAGAAGGGAGGAAGAUUUCAUGAGUAGGACUAGGUCUUGGUCAUGCUUGGUGUUUAAAUGGGUCUCAUGUGGUGAAAACUGGAGCAGGAAUACCCAAGACUGGUUGUAGGAUAUGAUUCAUUUCAUUAGUCCUGUACACUGGCUGGCUUCUGCUUUCACUGGAAUAGAGUCUAGUUCCCGAAUAAAGCUCCUAAGAGGCAGGCACAUUGUCAGGACCUCCUCUUUAGAAAAGAACUUGGAAUAAGAGCCCACUUCCAGGCCCCAUGUGCAUAUACUGGCCAAUAUAGCAGAGAUAUAGGAAAAGCAAAAUUAUAGAUCAAACAAAGUAAGAAUUAGGGGGACUACGCCAAGUUAAUAGGUUCCCUCCUGUAUUUGUUUUCUAUGCUGCUGCAACACAUACCACAAAACUUAGUGGCUUAAAACAACACGCAGAUUUAAUACCCUGAGGUUUGUGGAUCAGAGGUUUAACAAGGUCUCGCCUGGCAAAAAUCAAGGUGUGGACAGGAUCGCAUUUGCCUCUGGAGGCUCUAGGAGAGAAUCCACUUCCUUCCUUAUCACACAUCCAGAGGCUGCCCACACGCCUUUGCUCAUGACCCUUCCCGUCUUCAAAGCCAACAACACAGAGAUAAGAACUUCUCACAGUGCCAUCUCCCUGGUUCUCCUCUGGUGUCACCACAGUCUCUCUGAUGAGCUACAGCUGGGAUAGGUCCUCCGCUUUUACGGACACAUGUGAUUAGAUCAGAUCGGACCCACCUGGAUAAUCCAGGCUACUCUCUCUAAGGUCCAUAACCUUACUCACACCUGUAAAGUGCCUUUUGUCAUGUAAGGUGGCAUAUUUGCAGGUUCCAGGUGAGUACAAUGUGGAUAUCUCUGGGGCCAAUUGUUUAGCCUACCCUACCUCCCAGACUCUGGAACUUCUUCCAGAAACCCAAGGACAUAUUCAUGAGGAUCCUAUUCCUGUACUGGUCCAGAUAGUUUUAGGGUCUGGGUAGAUGUCCCUGUAGGUAUUCUGUAUCAAUCCAGUACGUGGGUGUGUUGAGAAAGGUGGGUGGGCUGAUGCAGAACAAGCAUGGUGAUUAAAAUGAUAAUUUGCAAUGUUACUCCUCUUUUAUCAUUUUAGAAAUAUAAUAUUUAGAAAAAUCAGCCGCUACCUUUAUAUGAGGUGGCUUUUUAUAUCUAAUUCUCAAAGCAACCUAGUAAUUACGAAGAUGAGAAUCACACAAUGAAAUUUAAUUUCACCAGGAUAAUAACAAGAGGAAAAAAAAUCUUUUUUUUUUUAUUUCCAAGGAAGACUGGAAAUUACUUCUUCCCAUCCUCCUUUGCAGUUUCUAAGCUAUGCUCCUAUAAUGGAUUUUUAUCUGUUUUUAUAAGUAAUUUCCUUAAUAUUUCAAUGGUCACAGAUAGUGAGAAUUGCAUGUCUCUUCAGGAAACAUAU
rnacentral:lncRNA from 1 species